CCGAGUUUACAACUCCCAAACCCAAUGUGAACGUUACCUAAACUGUUGCCUCGGCGGGAUCUCUGCCCCGGGUGCGUCGCAGCCCCGGACCAAGGCGCCCCGCCCGGAGGACCAACCAAAACUCUUAUUGUAUACCCCCUCGCGGGUUUUUUUUUUAUAAUCUGAGGCCUUCUCGGCGCCUCUCGUAGGCGUUUCGAAAAUGAAUCA
rnacentral:misc_RNA from 1 species